GGGUCAGUAGGUUGGUCGUGCCACCGGUACGUACUGGUCUCACUGAUUCCUCCUUCCUGAAGAACCGUAAUGCCAUUAAUUUGGUGUUGCGGGGAAACAGGACUGUUACUUUGAAAAAAUUAGAGUGUUUAAAGCAAGCUAACGCUUGAAUACAUUAGCAUGGAAUAAUGAAAUAGGACGAUCGAUCCUAUUUUGUUGGUUUCUAGGAUUGACGUAAUGAUUAAUAAUGAUAGUUGGG
rnacentral:rRNA from 1 species